CCUUGCCAGCCCGCUCAGAAACUUACAGGAAGUUGACGGGGCCCGGCACAAGCGGUGGAGCAUGUGGUUAAUUCGAUGAUACGCGAGGAACCUUACCUGGGCUCAAAUGUAUGUUGACGUAUUCUGAAAGGGAUACUUCUUCGGACAAUAUACAAGGUGCUGCAUGGUUGUCGUCAGCUCGUGCCGUGAGGUGUCGGGUUAAGUCCCAUAACGAGCGCAACCCUAUCAUUAGUUGCCAUCAGGUCAAGCUGGGGACUCUAAUGAAACUGCCUACGCAAGUAGUGAGGAAGGUGGGGAUGACGUCAAGUCAUCAUGGCCCUUACGGCCUGGGCUACACACGUGCUACAAUGGUCGGUACAAAGGGUUGCCAAGCCGCGAGGUGGAGCUAAUCCCAUAAAACCGAUCGUAGUCCGGAUCGCAGCUGCAACUCGACUGCGUGAAGUCGGAAUCGCUAGUAAUCGUGAAUCAGAAUGUCACGGUGAAUACGUUCCCGGGCCUU
rnacentral:rRNA from 1 species